AGAGGCCCUCCAUGGCCGGGGUGGAACACUUGCCUCGUCGCCACGGUGACAAAGCAAGCAUUCCACCAGGCCGCUCACACUGUCCAC
rfam:Myotis brandtii contig182528, whole genome shotgun sequence.